CAGCUAUCAUGAAGCUUCUGUGCUGGAGAGACCACAUGGAGACAGAGACGCCUGAGGAGCCCCAGUGUUCCAACCCCCAGGUGCUGGAGUCCUCCAGUCCAGGCACCAGGCAGCCCCAGGAAGAACUGAGGAAAAAAAGCAAAAUUUCUCAUCUAUACCUUCAGAAGCAACAUGGCGUGGCAGAAAGGACAUCAGUAUUGGAAUCACACAGAAUGAGAUCCUGGCAGCAAAACGCAAUAGAGAAGAUCAGCUGCAUCUGGCCCAUCUAAGGAUAAAAAACAAGUGUGCAAAGACAUAGACUUGGCCGUUCGGGAGAAACUCAGAGAAAAAGCAAGGCAAGAGUGCAAAAGGAAGAUCUGGGUGCCUGGGUGUGGGCAAACAAGACUUAGCUCAGAAAACAUGAGAGAUUUCCCCCUGGUGCAUGAGUUUGCCCAUCUGGGGCCAAGCCUGAGGCAGUC
rnacentral:lncRNA from 1 species